CAAACGAACCUGACUAGGGGCUACAUGAAAGCCAUACUGUGCUUCCUCCUCCUUCUCAUGAAUCCCUUUCCUCCCUUCUCUUUUCCAUCCCCCAUAGAUCAGAAAUGUGAAGGCGGUUAGGAAAUGUCCAGACUCCAAACAGAAAAAACUGUGAUCCUCAGCAGACACAAGACAUAAUAUUGGAUUAUCUGCAGCUUCAUCCUGGGAAAAAUAUAGGAGACUGAAGGGAAACAGGAAAAUAAGUAAACACCCAUAGAAAAAUAAAAGCAACAUCCUGAAAUAGGAAUUUCUGAGGAUAUGCUUCCCAUUUGAGAGAUGAAAACCUCGAGGCACAGAAAUACCAUAAAAUUGUCUAAAUUACACAUGCAAAUUAAUCUUGGGGCUAGAACUUGAUGGAAUAUCUAUGUUCUUAGACAAUGCUAAUUGAUUAUAGGAACUGCCUUUAGGACCAGAACAAGAAUCUAAUGUCUAAAUGGUA
rnacentral:lncRNA from 10 species